UGAGCUGAAUCUGUUUAGUGAAGUGAUGCUACGAUUAUAUAAUUCCUUGGUAAGACCACACCUAGAAUAUUGUGUGCAGGUUUGGUCACCAUACCUUAAAAAGGACAUUGCUGCCUUGGAAAAGGUGCAACAUAGGGCUAUGAGAAUGAUUCCUGGUCCUAGAGGAAUGUCUUAUGAGGAGAGGUUAGCUGAGCUGAAUCUGUUUAGCCUCGAGCAAAGGAGACUAAGGGGAGACAUGAUCCAGGUGUUUAAGAUUCUAAGAGGUCUGGAUGCUGUUCAGCCAAUUGGCUAUUUCAAUAUUAGUUUAAAUAGCAGCCUCAAACUUGUAACAGAAUGGAAGCCUGGAUGACAUAGCAAACUACUUAGCACAUUAAGCCAUGCAGCAGCUCAGGGAACAAGGUAGCACAUUAGGGCGCUAUCUAUGGGAAACGAGGAGCACAGAACAGGAUGGCCAGUGCCACCAGCUGGCCAAACAGGGAAUUGACAGGCAUAAUGAAAAGAGGGCAGGGCAGUGACUGAUCCUGAUAGUUAUGAAAACUUGCAUGUAAAAUAUCUGCUUGCCAUUUCUUAAUAGCAUGAAUUUCUAGGUAACAUGACUUUUUUUUUUUUGUUUUGCAGUUUUUCCUCUAGGCACAUACCUUUUUGUUGACAGUGAGAGUAGCACCUCUGCAUGGGCCAGAGGGAGGCAAUUAUCUCUGCAUGUGGAGGCAGCAUGAUAGAAGAAGGCAGGAGAAGGAUGGUGUCCCACUGUGUACUCCAUGGAGAAGAAGGAAACAAUUUAGAAGUACAGUAAAGACCUUGGACAUUCGCGAGGUUAUGUUCCAGAACCUGUCGCGAAUGAGGAUUCGCGGAUGUUUGGAAGAGUCUCCAAAAAUGGACUAAUGACAGCAAGUUGAAACAGCUGAUCACACGGGGAUUCCAUACGAGGUAGAUGAGGGAGUAUGGCACAUGGGAGGAUCGACGAACAGAGAAGUGUGCAGGUGAGAGCUGUGCUUCCUUACCAUUGUGGAUCUGAAGCUGACCAAAAGGCAAUCUCAACUUUGUUGGACAUUUUGAAUUUUUUUUUCUUUUUUUUUAGUUGCAUUCUUAUUAUUUAUGUAUUGGUUCUUGUUUUUGUGUGUUUGUUAGUUUUCCCUGAUUUUAUGUAGUUUUGUAGUCACGCCAUGUUCCUUCUAGCAUUUGAUUUUUGAGUCCAAUAUAAUUGUUAA